GACGAACGCUGGCGGCGUGCUUAACACAUGCAAGUCGAACGGAAAGGCCCUGCUUUUGUGGGGUGCUCGAGUGGCGAACGGGUGAGUAACACGUGAGUAACCUGCCCUUGACUUUGGGAUAACUUCAGGAAACUGGGGCUAAUACCGGAUAGGAGCUCCUGCUGCAUGGUGGGGGUUGGAAAGUUUCGGCGGUUGGGGAUGGACUCGCGGCUUAUCAGCUUGUUGGUGGGGUAGUGGCUUACCAAGGCUUUGACGGGUAGCCGGCCUGAGAGGGUGACCGGGCACAUUGGGACUGAGAUACGGCCCAGACUCCUACGGGAGGCAGCAGUGGGGAAUAUUGCACAAUGGGCGGAAGCCUGAUGCAGCAACGCCGCGUGCGGGAUGACGGCCUUCGGGUUGUAAACCGCUUUCGCCUGUGACGAAGCGUGAGUGACGGUAAUGGGUAAAGAAGCAUCGGCUAACUACGUG
rnacentral:rRNA from 1 species